rnacentral:rRNA from 1 species
GACGAACGCUAGCGGCGUGCCUAACACAUGCAAGUCGAACGGAAAUUCUCUGCUUUUGCAGGGUGCUCGACUGGCGAACGCGUGAGUAACGCGCGAGUAGCCUGUCCCUGACUUUGGGAUAACUUCAGGAAACUGUGGCUAACACCGGUUAGGAGCUCCUGCUGCUUGGUUGUGGUUGGAACGUUUCGGCGGUUGUGGAUGGACUCGCGGCUUAGUAGCUUGUUGGUUGGGUAGUGGCUUACCAAGGCUUCGACGGGUAGCCGGCCUGAGAGUGUGACCGGCCACAUUGGGAGUGAGAUACGGCAGAGAGUAGUAAGGGAUGCAGGAGUGGGGAUUAUUGCACGAUGGACGCAAGCCUGAUGCAGCAAGGCCGCGUGCGGGAUGACAGACUUCGGGUUUAAAACCAUUUUCGUAUGUGACGGAGAGUGAGUGACGGUAAUGGAUAAAGAAGCACCGGCUAACUACGUG